rnacentral:rRNA from 1 species
CGGACGGGUGAGUAACGCGUGGGUAACCUACCCUGUACACACGGAUAACAUACCGAAAGGUAUGCUAAUACGGGAUAAUAUAUUUGAGAGGCAUCUCUUGAAUAUCAGAGGUGAGCCAGUACAGGAUGGACCCGCGUCUGAUUAGCUAGUUGGUAAGGUAACGGCUUACCAAGGCGACGAUCAGUAGCCGACCUGAGAGGGUGAUCGGCCACAUUGGAACUGAGACACGGUCCAA